rnacentral:rRNA from 1 species
UACGUAGGGUGCGAGCGUUAAUCGGAAUUACUGGGCGUAAAGCGUGCGCAGGCGGUUUUGUAAGCCAGAUGUGAAAUCCCCGGGCUUAACCUGGGAAUGGCAUUUGGGACUGCAAGGCUCGAGUGCGGCAGAGGAGACUGGAAUUCCUGGUGUAGCAGUGAAAUGCGUAGAUAUCAGGAGGAACACCGAUGGCGAAGGCAGGUCUCUGGGCUGACACUGACGCUCAUGCACGAAAGCGUGGGGAGCAAACAAGG